rnacentral:rRNA from 1 species
GAAUAGUGGCAGACGGGUGAGUAACACGUGGGUGACCUACCCCGAAGACGAGGAUAACGGCUGGAAACAGUCGCUAAUACUCGAUAGACUCUCUAUGUCAUAGUUGAGAGUAAAGCUCCGGCGCUUCGGGAGGGGCCCGCGGCCUAUCAGCUAGUUGGUAGGGUAACGGCCUACCAAGGCAACGACGGGUAGGGGGUGUGAGAGCACGACCCCCCACAAUGGGACUGAGACACGGCCCAUACUCCUACGGGAGGCAGCAGCAGGGAAUAUUGCGCAAUGGACGGAAGUCUGACGCAGCGACGCCGCGUGGAUGAUGAAGGCCUUCGGGUUGUAAAAUCCUUUUCAGGGGGAAGAGGAAGGACGGUACCCUUGGAAUAAGCGUCGGCUAACUACGUGCCAGCAGCCGCGGUAAGACGUAGGACGCGAGCGUUAUCCGGAUUUACUGGGCGUAAAGCGUCUGUAGGCGGACUCGUAAGUUGGGCGUGAAAGCUCCGGGCUCAACCCGGAGAGGCCGUUCAAUACUGCGAGACUAGAGGGCAUCAGAGGGGCGUGGAAUUUCCGGUGUAGCGGUAAAAUGCGCAGAUAUCGGAAGGAACACCAGUGGCGAAGGCGGCGCCCUGGGGUGCACCUGACGCUAAGAGACGAAAGCUAGGGGAGCGAACAGGAUUAGAGACCCUGGUAGUCCUAGCUGUAAACGAUGGAUGCUAGGUGUGGGACCGACAGGUUCUGUGCCGCAGUUAACGCGCUAAGCAUCCCGCCUGGGGACUACGGCCGCAAGGCUAAAACUCAAACGAAUUUGACGGGGCCCCGCACAAGCAGCGGAGCGUGUGGUUUAAUUUCGAUGUUACACGAAGAACCCUUACCUGGGUUUGACAUAUACGUGGUAGGGAAGCGAAAGCGACCCGACCUUUCGGGGGAGCGUAAUAACAGGUGCUGCAUGCUGUCGUCAGCUCGUGCCGUGGAGGUGUCGGCUAAGUCCGUACGAGCGCCACGUGUCUAGUUAAUACGUGUUCUAGGACCUGGACUGGCGAUAGCUGGACGAGGUGGACAUGACGUUCAAGUUCAGCAUGCCUUAAUUCCAUGGC